AUUGAACGCUGGCGGCAUGCCUUACACAUGCAAGUCGAACGGUAACAGGUCUUUCGGGAUGCUGACGAGUGGCGAACGGGUGAGUAAUACAUCGGAACGUGCCUAGUAGUGGGGGAUAACUACUCGAAAGAGUGGCUAAUACCGCAUGAGAUCUAUGGAUGAAAGCAGGGGACCUUCGGGCCUUGCGCUACUAGAGCGGCCGAUGGCAGAUUAGGUAGUUGGUGGGAUAAAAGCUUACCAAGCCUACGAUCUGUAGCUGGUCCGAGAGGACGAUCAGCCACACUGGGACUGAGACACGGCCCAGACUCCUACGGGAGGCAGCAGUGGGGAAUUUUGGACAAUGGGCGCAAGCCUGAUCCAGCAAUGCCGCGUGCAGGAUGAAGGCCUUCGGGUUGUAAACUGCUUUUGUACGGAACGAAAAGUCUUGGGUUAAUACCCUGGGAUCAUGACGGUACCGUAAGAAUAAGCACCGGCUAACUACGUGCCAGCAGCCGCAGUAACAC
rnacentral:rRNA from 1 species